CUGCUUUAUCUCUGGACGUGGAGGCCGCUCCUCCACGCAACCCCAAUCUCACCUGCUCCCCCUUUCCUCCUCCCCACGCAAAGGGACGGAGGGGAAAACCCCAUAGCCACCGUCACGAGCUCACCAUGGCGCCGCCGCUCCAGUGCGUCCCCCGUUGUUCUGAGGGCACCGGCGGGUGCGCCUCGUCGUCCUCUACCACCUCCUGCAAGCAAUCGACCAGGGACGCCUCGAAUUGACGCCGGCAACCUCGUUUCCUCCUCAGCACCGGCGGCCAAAUCCACCGAAUUCGGCCAUCUCCGCCUUCCUCCGGCGCAGCCGACCCCUCCGCGAUGUUCCAGGUGACCUUGCCCGUCCACAGAACCAUUGGCCUCUCCCUAUUUCGUUCUCUACCGAGUUGCCUACGUUGACCGCUGAUCUUCUCCGCAGAACCUCAUCGCCGACCAUUCUCCGGUGGUGCCCCGGCCUCUUCUCCGCCCGUAGCAGGUCCUCCCCGUCGCGGCGCACCUCCAGCACUAACACGCCCUUCUUGGUUCGCCCGAAAUCUGCAGAUCGUUGUUUGUUCUGUGAGUUCCGCCAUAGCUUCCAGUUCUGAGCUCCGCCUCCCGUGGUUCAAGUCGACGCGGGCCCUUUCCUUGACACCAUCCGACCAACAGCUCAGUGAUCUGAAGUCUGAUGGGCCUUGGCCCAGAUCUUCACGCCGCGGGCCGUUGCUCCGCGCGCCCAGCUUCUAUCCGCCACCGCUUCCGCCAGCAGUUGAUUCUUCCCGGAUAGGACCGCAAAGUGGUGCGGUGAGAAACGCCAAGUUCUCCGGAUGUCUCUCAGCAAGCUUUAACAGGCA